rnacentral:rRNA from 1 species
UAUUAAAGGCAACGCCUGCCCAGUGAACAAUUAAACGGCCGCGGUACCCUAACCGUGCAAAGGUAGCGUAAUCACCUGUCUAUUAAUUGUAGACCCGUAUGAACGGCAAAAUGAGGGUUUAACUGUCUCUUAUGAUGAUUCAAUUAAACUGAUCUCCCAGUCCAAAAGCUGGGAUACCCACAUAAGACCAGAAGACCCUGUGAAGCUUUAACUAAACUAUUAAACCCAAUAAUAGCUCCUUUGGGUUGGGGCGACCUUGGAAAAAAAAAGAACUUCCAAACUCGACCCAGCACAGCUGAGUAAUGAACCAAGUUACUCCAGGGAUAACAGCGCCAUCUUCUUCAAGAGCCCAUAUCAAAAAGAAGGUUUACGACCUCGAUGUUGGAUCAGGACAUCCUAAUGGUGCAGCCGCUAUUAAGGGUUCGUUUGUUCAACGAUUAAC